rnacentral:rRNA from 1 species
UACAGAGGGUGCGAGCGUUGUCCGGAAUCACUGGGCGUAAAGGGCGCGUAGGUGGCGCCGCAAGUCCAUGGUGAAAGCUCGAUGCUCAACAUCGAGUCGGCCACGGAGACUGCGGGGCUCGAGCACUGUAGGGGCAGAUGGAAUUCCGGGUGUAGCGGUGGAAUGCGUAGAGAUCCGGAAGAACACCGGUGGCGAAGGCGGUCUGCUGGGCAGUAGCUGACGCUGAGGCGCGACAGCGUGGGGAGCAAACAGG